rnacentral:rRNA from 1 species
GACAGAGGUCUCGAGCGUUAGGCGGAAUCACUGGGCUUAAAGCGUGUGUAGGCGGAUGUCUAAGUACCUUGUGAAAUCCCAUGGCUUAACCAUGGAAUGGCUUGGUAUACUGGAUGUCUUGAGCCAGCUAGGGGCAACCGGAACAAAUGGUGGAGCGGUGAAAUGCGUAGAUAUCAUUUGGAACGCCAAUGGUGAAAACAGGUUGCUGGGGCUGUGCUGACGCUGAGACACGAAAGCCAGGGGAGCGAACGGG